GAUGAAGAACGCAGCGAAAUGCGAUACGUGGUGUGAAUUGCAGAAUCCCGUGAACCAUCGAGUCUUUGAACGCAAGUUGCGCCCGAAGCCAUUAGGCCGAGGGCACGCCUGCCUGGGCGUCACACGUCGUUGCCCCCCCAUCUAAUCCUUCGGGCUUGCGGGGGGCGGAUGAUGGCCUCCCGUGCGCCUCGUCGCGCGGUUGGCAUAAAUGCCAAGUCCUCGGCGACGCACGCCACGACAAUCGGUGGUUGCGAAACCUCGGUUGCCCGUUGUGUGCGGUCGUCGCGCAUCGAGGGCUCGAAAAAAUUGCCGGGCUCCGGCUCGACUUUCAACGCGACCCCAGGUCAGGCGGGGUUACCCGCUGAAUUUAAGCAUAUCAAUAAGCGGAGGA
rnacentral:misc_RNA from 1 species